UACAGAGGUCCCAAGCGUUGUUCGGAUUCACUGGGCGUAAAGCGCGCGUAGGCGGCCCGGUAAGUCCGUCGUGAAAGUCAAAGGCUCAACCUUUGAAUGUCGAUGGAUACUGCCGGGCUAGAGUCCGGAAGAGGCGAGUGGAAUUCCUGGUCGUAGCGGUGGAAUGCGCAGAUAUCAGGAGGAACACCAAGUAGCGAAGGCAGCUCGCUGGGACG
rnacentral:rRNA from 1 species